GUUUAGUAGCCCAUCUCCAACUACUUGUGUGUCGAGCCUGUUCCUCUCUGUAGCAGUGCUGUCAGUCCAGGCUGGCUUCAGACUCACUAUGUGGCCCAGGCUGGCCAUGAACUCACUGGCAACACUCCUGCCUCAGCCUCCCAAGUGCUGAGAUUACAGUACCCCAUGAACUGUGAAUAAAAGACUAAAAACCCAUCAAAAUUGAAAUCUUCUGAUAAAGAGAAGCACUCACCAUUGGGUGGUAUUGCUGGCUCUUCUGAGGAAUGCUCUGGAAAUCUGUGCUACUUUGCCUAGGACCAUUGUG
ensembl:lncRNA